rnacentral:rRNA from 1 species
GAUGAACGCUGGCGGCGUGCCUAAUACAUGCAAGUCGAGCGAACAGACGAGGAGCUUGCUCCUUUGACGUUAGCGGCGGACGGGUGAGUAACACGUAGGUAACCUACCUAUAAGACUGGGAUAACUUCGGGAAACCGGAGCUAAUACCGGAUAAUAUUUCGAACCGCAUGGUUCGAUAGUGAAAGAUGGCUUUGCUAUCACUUAUAGAUGGACCUGCGCCGUAUUAGCUAGUUGGUAAGGUGACGGCUUACCAAGGCAACGAUACGUAGCCGACCUGAGAGGGGGGUUCGCCAACAUGGGAAGUGGACCAGGGCCAAGCCCCCUGGGGGGGGGGCAAGAAGGAAUCCUUCGGAAAGGGGGGAAGACAUGCGGGACCACGGCGGGGUGGGUAAGGAAGGUCUUGGGAUCUAAAAACUUUUUUAUGGGGGAAAAACAACGGUGAAAUAACCUGUGCAGGUCGUGACGGUACCUAAUAAAAAACCCACGGCUAACUACGUG